AGCAAACAAGAGCGAACGGUGGAUGCCUAGGCUCAGGGAGGCGACGAAGGACGUGAUAAGCUGCGAAAAGCGCGGAGGAGGUGCAAAUAGCCAUUGAUACCGCGAUAUCCGAAUGGGGUAACCCAAUACUUUGAAGGAGUAUUACUCUGCUUAAAGCAGAGGGCAAACCCGGGGAACUGAAACAUCUAAGUACCCGGAGGAAUAGAAAAUAAGACAAUGAUUGCGCAAGUAGUGGCGAGCGAACGCGCAAGAGCCCAAACCGGUUAUGUUUCGGCAUAAUCGGGGUUGUAGGACUGCAACAAUUGACGUAAAGCGAACUGGAAACGUAGUGGAACCUUGUACCGUAGAAGGUGAAAGUCCUGUACAGGCAAGCGAUAACGCCAAUAGCAGUAUCCUGAGUAGCGCGGGACACGAGAAAUCCUGUGUGAAUUAGCGGGGCCCAUCCCGUAAGGCUAAAUACUCCCCUGAGACCGAUAGUGAACCAGUACCGUGAGGGAAAGGUGAAAAGAACCUUGAAUAAAGGAGUGAAAUAGACCCUGAACCCGUUCGCUUACAAGCGGUCGGAGCAUCAUUUAUGGUGUGACGGCGUGCCUUUUGCAUAAUGAACCUACGAGUUACUUUUGUUGGCAAGGUUAAGUUUUGAAGAAAUGCAGCCGAAGCGAAAGCGAGUCUUAACAGGGCGUUUGAGUCAGCAGGAGUAGACGCGAAACCAAGUGAUCUACCCUUGAGCAGGGUGAAGUUGCCGUAACAGGUAAUGGAGGCCCGAACUAUUUGACGUUGAAAAGUCUUUGGAUGACUUGAGGGUAGGGGUGAAAGGCUAAUCAAACUUGGAGAUAGCUCGUACUCCCCGAAAUGCAUUUAGGUGCAGCGUGUGGAAUAAGUUUAUAAGAGGUAGAGCGACUGAUUGGAUGCGAGGGUUUCACCGCCUGUCAAGUCCUGACAAACUCCGAAUGCUUAUAAAUAUUUCCAUGCAGUGAGGGCGCGGGUGCUAAGGUCCGUGUCCGAGAGGAGAAGAAUCCAGACCAUCAGUUAAGGUCCCCAAAUAUAUGCUAAGUUGAACUAACGAAGUCGAACUGCCCAGACAGCUAGGAUGUUGGCUUGGAAGCAGCCAUUCAUUUAAAGAGUGCGUAACAGCUCACUAGUCGAGCGGUUUGGCGUGGAUAAUAAUCGGGCAUAAGCAUAUUACCGAAACUGUGGAUACUGUUUUAGACAGUAUGGUAGGGGAGCAUUCCAUAUAGCGUAGAAGGCGUAAGGUAACUUACUCUGGAGCGUAUGGAAAAGCAAAUGUAGGUAUAAGUAACGAUAAUGCGGGCGAGAAACCCGCACGCCGGAAGACUAAGGAUUCCUGAUCAACGCUAAUCGGAUCAGGGUUAGUCGGGGCCUAAGGUGUAGCCGACAGGCGUAGCCGAUGGAAGAAACGGUUAAUAUUCCGUUACUACUGUAAAGAGCGAUGUGGGGACGAAGCAGUGACAGUUCUGCCAGCAGACGGACUUGCUGGUUGAAGGGUGUAGAUAUUGAGAGUUACAGGCAAAUCCGUAAUUUGAGUUGAACCUGAAAGUAUCGGGCGUACUUGUACAACCGAAAAUGGACGUAAUCAGACUUCCAAGAAAAACCGCUAAGCAUAUUUUUACAGUACCCGUACUACAAACGGACACACGUGGUCAAGUAUAGCGUACUAAGGCGCUCGAGUGAUUCACAGCUAAGGAACUAGGCAAAAUAGCCCCGUAACUUCGGGAGAAGGGGCACCUACCCAGUGAUGGGAGGUCGCAGAGAAAUGGCUCAGGCGACUGUUUAUCAAAAACACAGGGCUAUGCAAAAACGAAAGUUGAGGUAUAUGGCCUGACACCUGCCCGGUGCUGGAAGGUUAAGAGGAGAGCUUAGAGCAAUCGAAGGUUUGAAUUGAAGCCCCAGUAAACGGCGGCCGUAACUAUAACGGUCCUAAGGUAGCGAAAUUCCUUGUCGGGUAAGUUCCGACCUGCACGAAUGGUGUAACGAUCUGAGCACUGUCUCAGCUGUGAGCUCGGUGAAAUUGUAGUAUCGGUGAAGAUGCCGAUUACCCGCAACGGGACGAAAAGACCCCGUGAACCUUUACUGCAACUUUACAUUGAAUUUGGGUAAUUGAUGUGUAGGAUAGGCCGGAGGCAAUGAAGCAGGUACGCCAGUAUUUGUGGAGCCAACCUUGAAAUACGGCCCUUUGAUUAUUUGAGUUCUAACGAAUGGAUAUUCGGACAUUGUAUGGUGGGUAGUUUGACUGGGGUGGUCGCCUCCAAAAGCGUAACGGAGGCUUCCAAAGGUGCGCUCACGCCGAUUGGUAACCGGCGGCAGAGUAUAAUGGUACAAGCGCGCUUGACUGAGAGACCAACAAGUCGAUCAGGUGCGAAAGCAGGGCAUAGUGAUCCGGUGGUUCCGUAUGGAAGGGCCAUCGCUCAAAGGAUAAAAGGUACUCCGGGGAUAACAGGCUGAUCAUUCCCAAGAGCUCAUAUCGACGGAAUGGUUUGGCACCUCGAUGUCGGCUCGUCACAUCCUGGGGCUGGAGAAGGUCCCAAGGGUUGGGCUGUUCGCCCAUUAAAGUGGCACGCGAGCUGGGUUCAGAACGUCGUGAGACAGUUCGGUCUCUAUCUGUUGUGGGCGCAGGAAAUUUGCGAAGCUCUGACACUAGUACGAGAGGACCGUGUUGGACGAACCUCCGGUGCACGAGUUGUUACGCCAGUAGCAUAGCUCGGUAGCCGCGUUCGGAACGGAUAAGUGCUGAAAGCAUCUAAGCACGAAGCCGGCUUUAAGAUUAGAUUUCCACAGAGGGUCGUUGAAGAUGACAACGUUGAUAGGUUACAGGUGUACAACAGAGAUGUAAAGCCGAGUAAUACUAAUAGCCCGAAUGCUUUUU
rnacentral:rRNA from 1 species